UACGUAGGUGGCAAGCGUUGUCCGGAUUUACUGGGUGUAAAGGGCGUGCAGCCGGAGAGACAAGUCAGAUGUGAAAUCCGCAGGCUCAACCUGCGAACUGCAUUUGAAACUGUUUCCCUUGAGUAUCGGAGAGGUCAUCGGAAUUCCUAGUGUAGCGGUGAAAUGCGUAGAUAUCAGGAGGAACACCGGUGGCGAAGGCGGCCUGCUGGACUGCAACUGACGUUGAGGCCCGAAAGCGUGGGGAGCAAACAGG
rnacentral:rRNA from 1 species